UAAUGUUUCUGACGAACAAUCACAAUAUUUAACUAGAAAAGCUGAUUUCAAUCGCAUUUAUAUAAAUCCCUAUUAUAUGGACAACUGUUGUGGCGGUCAGGUGCAAAGUGAAAGCAUCUACAACAUGCUGCAGGCUCUAGUCGACUCCAAAGUGAUCAACGUGCAGUUGUUUACGAUUGCUGUGGGAAUUUUCUUUAUGGUGCUGCUAUGGAGGCGCUCAAGGAAAUACUCGCCCCUCGUUUAGUGUUUAAUUAGCCUAUAUUUAAAUGUAAUAGUGUAGCACUGUGACGUCAUCGAAAAUACUGACCAAAUGUGUGAAGGUUGAUUUAGGCACGAACUGGUUUCGCCUUUGUUUCGAUUCAGUUUAGUAACGGAUUUAUAUAAUUUGUACAAAAGCCCAAGAAAUUCUUGCUUUAUUUUGAACAAUUAUUAUGUUACAAAAUUUGAGGUCUAUGAUUUUAUGGGAUGUCGAUUAUGGGUAAUGGCAGUGCGCAUUUUUAUGUAUAAUCUUGUAUGCCUUUGUCUCUUGCUCGCUGGGCAUUAGCAUGGUUGCUGGCGCUCUUAUAGGAAUGGGCCUCAUGCAACUUAUCGUGUCCUGCACCCUUAGCAUGCUCCUUCGCCAUACCAAACGGAUUGUGGUAAUAU